ACUCAAAGGAAUUGACGGGGGCCCGCACAAGCAGCGGAGCAUGUGGUUUAAUUCGACGCGACGCGAAGAACCUUACCAGGUCUUGACAUCCGUUAAAAGCUAAAGAGAUUUAGUGUGGGGAAACCCGAGGCGAGACAGGUGGUGCAUGGUUGUCGUCAGCUCGUGUCGUGAGAUGUUGGGUUAAGUCCCGCAACGAGCGCAACCCUUGUGAUUAGUUACUAACGCGUGAAGGCGAGGACUCUAAACAGACUGCCGGGGACAACUCGGAGGAAGGUGGGGACGACGUCAAAUCAUCAUGCCCCUUAUGACCUGGGCUACACACGUGCUACAAUGGCCGCCACAAAGAGCGGCGAAGGCGCAAGCCGGAGCGGAUCUUAAAAAAGCGGUCUCAGUUCGGAUUGUGGGCUGCAACCCGCCCACAUGAAGUCGGAGUUGCUAGUAAUCGCGAAUCAGCAUGUCGCGGUGAAUACGUUCCCGGGCCUUGUACACACCGCCCGU
rnacentral:rRNA from 1 species